UGGAAAGGAAAAUGGAACUCAAAUGUGUUCAAAAGAUAUUGAAGAAAUGAAGAAGAAGGUUUAGAGUCUACAUGAAGAAGAUGAAGUUUCUAGUAGUUGUAGUUAUAUGUUCUUGGUUGUAUUUUGUUACUUUUUUAGAUGCGUGUAAUAAUAGAGCUUGAUGUAAUAAUGUAAUCUGAAAUAACAAUGGCAAUUAAUGUAAUGUCAUUUUAUUUUUAAUGAAUGAAA
rnacentral:lncRNA from 1 species